rnacentral:snRNA from 1 species
UGCACCGCCGACCGACCU